rnacentral:rRNA from 1 species
UACGUAGGGUGCAAGCGUUGUCCGUAAUUAUUGGGCGUAAAGAGCUCGUAGGCGGUCUGUCGCGUCUGCUGUGAAAACUCAGGGCUUAACCCUGAGCUUGCAGUGGGUACGGGCAGACUAGAGUGCGGUAGGGGAGACUGGAAUUCCUGGUGUAGCGGUGAAAUGCGCAGAUAUCAGGAGGAACACCGGUGGCGAAGGCGGGUCUCUGGGCCGUAACUGACGCUGAGGAGCGAAAGCGUGGGGAGCGAACAGG